AUUGAACGCUGGCGGAAUGCUUUACACAUGCAAGUCGAACGGCAGCAUAGGUGCUUGCACCUGAUGGCGAGUGGCGAACGGGUGAGUAAUAUAUCGGAACGUGCCCAGUCGUGGGGGAUAACGUAGUGAAAAUUACGCUAAUACCGCAUACGAUCUAAGGAUGAAAGCGGGGGAUCGCAAGACCUCGCGCGAUUGGAGCGGCCGAUAUCAGAUUAGGUAGUUGGUGAGGUAAAGGCUCACCAAGCCAACGAUCUGUAGCUGGUCUGGGAGGACGACCAGCCACACUGGGACUGAGACACGGCCCAGACUCCUACGGGAGGCAGCAGUGGGGAAUUUUGGACAAUGGACGCAAGUCUGAUUCAGCCAUUCCGCGUGCAGGACGAAGGCCUUCGGGUUGUAAACUGCUUUUGUACGGAACGAAAAGGUCUCUAUUAAUACUUGGGGCUCAUGACGGUACCGUAAGAAUAAGCACCGGCUAACUACGUGCCAGCAGCCGCCGUAA
rnacentral:rRNA from 1 species